CUGAAGGUUCAGAGGGUUAGCGGGCUUCAGUUUCACCCAGCACUGGGAGCCCAAGAGUUGCUGAGGUUUGAGACCCUGAUUGGUUCUAUGGGUUCUAUGGCGUCUCCUUACCAGACUGAUGCGGUAAAGGGUUGUUCCCCAACCCCUUCACCUGUUCCCCCUCCCCACCUGCUCCCCACCCACACCCUCACCCAUCAAGCUUCUGGCUGCUCUUUGCCCAGAUAAAAAUUAGCCCAUCCUCCCUCAUUCCUUCACACCCUCUGCCCAUGACCCUCCUGGUGUACCUGAUUCAUCGAGCCCCUCCCCACCCUAUACAAAUACACCUGAGGACAGACAGAGCCUCAGACUUCCUGCAGCUCCUGGCUCUGUGCUCUCAGGUGUUCCUUUUGUCACUCCCUGUACUUGGCCGAUAAAGAUGGAUCCAGGUCCAAAGGGGCACUGCCAUGGUGGUGGCAAUGGCCCAGGGCACUGUCCUGGGGGAAACCACCCCCCAGGGCCCUGUGGGCACCCCCCUGGCCAUGGCCCAGGACAUAGUCCUGGGGGGAACCACCCCCCAGGGCCCUGUGGGCACCCCCCUGGCCAUGGCCCAGGACACGGUCCUGGGGGGAACCACCCCCCAGGGCCCUGUGGACCCCCACCUGGUCCACCUCACUAAGGAAGCAGAAGAAAGAGGACACAACAAUGGGGAGCCCGAGUUGGGUUGCCCUGCUGACCUGGCAUGGAGCCUGAAGCAGAAUCUUCUCUUCCUAAUAAACAGCCUCCCAGAGGCCAUAUUUUAUUCUUAAA